rnacentral:lncRNA from 1 species
GGAGGCUUGGCUGUUCACCCCUGGGUCACAAGAGCCAGCUAGCAACUCAGACUGACUUAGAGGAAAAGAGGAAUUUCCUGACUCAGCUUGGAUACGCUUCACAUCGGAUGUACUUACGUUUAUCCAAGUCAGAAGUGAAAGAGACAUUUGCCAAGACAGAGGCGUGACUAGGAAACGCACCUGGAGGCUUUAUGGACUUCCUGACCUGCUCACAGACCCCACCAAGCAUCCAGUCCUUCUGCUCAGCCCUCUGCCUUCUCUACGAGAGUUUCCAAGAGAUUUUGUCACCUACUGGGAUGAACUCCCGAUAUACCACGUCCAAGGGGCCAGGACGCCAUCACAGUAUUUCAAGAGGAACGGAGGUUUACCUUUCAACCAAACUAGAACUUCCCACCAGCAGCCCCUCCCUUGGCUGCUGACCUGAUUCCUGCUUCGCCACCUCCUGAGGAUGGAUGGACGGCUGACCCACCUAGCAGGCCAGUUUACCUAAUUCCUUAAGCUAUUCUUUCUCUGUAUGGAAAUGGUCAUGAGUGGCUUUUCACAGGAAGGGAAAGGGACCCCCUUCACAGUAUUGCCCAGAAUGUGGACAGCACAUCCUACUGAGCUAAAGAAACCUUGCUAAGAGUCCUUGGUGAUAUUUGUGUUGUGGUUGUUAC